UCUCCGUUGGUGAACCAGCGGAGGGAUCAUUACCGAAGUUACCUUCAAAACCCACUGUGAACCUUACCUCUUGCCGCGUUGUCUCGGCGGGAGGCGGGGUGCGUCAAGGCCCUCGGGCCGCGCCGCUCCCCGUCCCCGCCGGCGGCGCCAAACUCUAAAUGCACAGCGGACUGUACGUUCUGAUUUACAAAAAAAACAAGUUAAAACUUUCAACAACGGAUCUCUUGGUUCUG
rnacentral:misc_RNA from 2 species